rnacentral:tRNA from 1 species
UCUAAAAUGACAGAUGAAUGUAUAAGAUUUAAGCUCUUACCAUGGAGAUUUAUUCUUCUUUUAGAAUC